GCGCCAGUCGCUGACAGCCGCGGCGCUGCGAGCUGCUUCUCCUCUGCUCCCGGCCCAGGCAGGAUUCCUGAAGAUAUUUAAAAACAACAGUUUUCAGCCAAGCGAAAGCGUUCCGUCGUCCCAGAGGCACCAAUCCAGUUUAACUCAGCCACAACAGAUUAUCAGUCAUCAUGGAGAACCUUGGUUGCUGGAUGCUGAUUCUCUUUGUGGCCACAUGGAGUGACAUAGGCCUCUGCAAGAAGCGACCCAAGCCUGGAGGAUGGAACACUGGGGGGAGCCGAUACCCGGGCCAGGGCAGCCCUGGAGGCAACCGCUACCCACCCCAGGGUGGUGGUGGCUGGGGGCAGCCUCACGGUGGCGGCUGGGGGCAGCCCCAUGGUGGUGGCUGGGGACAACCCCAUGGUGGCGGCUGGGGACAGCCUCAUGGUGGUGGUGGCUGGGGUCAAGGAGGUGGCACCCACAGUCAAUGGGGAAAGCCCAGUAAGCCAAAAACCAACCUGAAGCAGAUGGCAGGCGCUGCCGCAGCUGGGGCAGUGGUGGGAGGCCUCGGCGGCUAUAUGCUGGGGAGUGCCAUGAGCAGGCCCCUCAUACAUUUUGGCAAUGACUAUGAGGACCGUUACUAUCGUGAAAAUAUGUACCGUUACCCCAACCAAGUGUACUACAGGCCGGUGGAUCAGUACAGCAACCAGAACAACUUCGUGCAUGACUGCGUCAACAUCACGGUCAAGCAGCACACGGUCACCACCACUACCAAAGGGGAGAACUUCACCGAGACCGAUAUUAAGAUAAUGGAGCGUGUGGUUGAGCAGAUGUGUAUCACCCAGUACCAGAAGGAACAGCAGGCUUAUUACCAAAGAGGCUCGAGCUUGGCUCUCCUCUCCUCCCCGCCUGUGAUCCUCCUCAUCUCCUUCCUCAUCUUCCUGAUAGUGGGAUGAGGCAGGUCUUCCUGUUUCACCAUCUUUUUCAUCUUUUUCCAGGUUGGGGGAGGGGGUGUCCACUUGCAGCCCUUUCAGCAGUGGCGUCUCAUUCUUGCUUCUCCUUGUCCCCCAUAGGCUAACACCCUUGGCACUGAUGGGCACUGGGAAAUGUAGAGUAGACCUGGGAUGCUGUUUAUUCAGGCCCCCUUUGAUUGAGUCCUUCACAGGCCCGUGCUAGUGCUGGCCCAGGAAAAAUAUAACAGCAAAUAAUCCCUGGUUAUUCUAGGCUUAUUUUUAGUCUACUAUAACAGGUUGAGGCUAAAACAUCUCAAAACAGCCCUCAGAUACCUUUGCCUGAAUACCUCUAGCUCCUUCAGCAGUCAGGACUCAGCAUACCAGUGCCCCAACUCAGCAGUGAUUUUAUAGCAAUUUAGAGAAAUUUUCUCAUCCGUUUUAAGACAACCUGACAGCACUUCUGCCAAGUUUGGAAGGAGGCCGCAUGGUACUCACUCAAAAAAAAAAGCAAACACGAGAAAUCCUUAGCUCUCGGGCCACAGGCUUCGCCCACUGGAGCAUGUGCUGUGUCCACAGAGACUGUGGCAGCACUUGGCCUUUUGCAGUGCGGGCUGCACAGAGGCUGUUGCAUCAAGAGUAAAUACUGUGCAACACAAGACCUCUGGCCAGAGGACAUUUUCACAGAGAAUGAACAUAACUGUAACAUAUGUGAAAAUCUUCUGGGACUGAAAAAUCCAACAUUUGGGAGUGGUGCCCUGAAAGACACCUCCCAUUUUGGAUGUUUAAAGCACCUACAUGUGGCAUUCCUUUUGUUAGUAACAUAAACUCUAGAUAAUUAAGGCAGCAAAAAUUAAAUUACCUUCUACACACUGAAAGUAAAUCUCCUUUGUUCAUUUACUUGGAAACCAAAAUGAUUUUAAUGUUGUUUAGGUGAAACCAGAAGACUUUAAAACAGAGGAAAGCUGCAGUUGUCCAAGCACAGUCGUCACAGAGGAUCAUGUAAUGAAGAAAAUGGUUAGUGUUUAAAGAAAAGAAAUGCUUCCAUUCCUUCAUUUCUGGCUCAUAAUUGUCAAAAACCAGAAUUAGGUCAAGUCCUUAGUUUUUGUAAUUGGCUUUUGAAUUAAAGAGUAGGAAGACAAUCUAAAAAAUAGGUUGGAGAUGACAGAAAUAUGAUCUACUUAUAGUAGAAAAGGAAAUUCUGUUAAUGUCAUUUAAGUAAGGUAAAAUUACUCCCUGAAUUGUUCAACAUUGUCACCUAGCAGAUACAUAUUACUGUUCUGCAAUGUCAUUGGCUUGCAUUGUGUGGGUAUUCUAUGUAAAAAAAUAUAUAUAUAAAAUGUAUAUUGCUUAUGACAAACUUAGAAGUUUCUUUUAGAGCAGUUUAAUAGCUGAAGUAUCUAAUGCAUUAAUUGUUUUGUAAGGUACUAAAUACCUAAUUUGUGGGAAACCCUUUUGCAUGGAACUUAGGCUUACAAUGUGCACUGAAUAGUUUUGUAUAAGAAUCCAAACUGGACACUGUUAACUGGUCUUUGAAAUAUGCAUGUACUUUAUAUUUUCUAUAUUUAUAACUUUGCAUGUACUUGUUUUGUUGUACACAAAAUUUAUAAAUGUUUACUAUCUGACUGAAAUUAAAGAAGCUGAGAUGAGCAUCA